rnacentral:lncRNA from 1 species
AAACACCUCAGAACCUUCGGAUGAAGUCACAGAUGUGGUCGGUGAUCUCAGGCGCCUUCUCCUGGUUGAUGAAGUGGGCUACUCCCUCCAUGACGACUGCCUCCUCGAGCAUCGGCACGUCUCUCCUGAAUCCCCCUCCUUGUAUGUACUCCUUUAUCCCCGGGAAAUGAUAGGUCAUGUCCUGGUCACCUAUGAUGAACUUUACCGGCACCUGUAUCUGCACCCCACUCCAUGGCGCACCCAACUCCCAGUUCCUGCAUCGAACAUACGUAACGUGCAUCAACAAGAGUUCCUGCGUCAGCUCUACUACACACACCAACCAUGCCAAGGAGCGCUUACAAGUCCAAGCAUCGGUAAUAGUUAAC